CCCUUAGUUAUCCUAGGCCGCACGCGUGUUACAAUGACUUUUUCAGCAAGUUCUCCUGGCCCGAGAGGGUGCGGGUAAUCUGAAAUCAAAGUCGUGUUAGGGAUAGAUCUUUGCAAUUAUAGAUCUUGAACGAGGAUUUUGUAGUAAGUGCGCGUCAUCACCGCGUACUGACUGCGUCCCUGCUGUUUGUACACACCGCCCGUCGCUUCUACCGAUUGAAUGUUCCGGUGAAUAAUUUGGACCCGGGGGGGCUUGCUCCUCUGGGGAAGUUUCGCAAACCUAUGCAUUUAGUGGAAGAAGAAGUCGUAACA
rnacentral:rRNA from 1 species